rnacentral:lncRNA from 1 species
GUAUAAUGUUGUUUUGUUUGUUUUUCCUUUAGUUUUGUUUUGCUUUACCCAGUAUUCCCACAAUAGUCUCCCUUUUUCCCCUAACAAUGAUGUCCCAUUUCCCAGGACAUUUUGCAGUAACUAAUUAUAUUGGACAUGAAGCAAUUUGUGUAACUGCCAAAUUUGGAAGAACUAAAAUGACCAAAAGCAGUUGAAGAUUUUCUGUGUUUUCUACGGAAUUGGAAAGAGAAGUUAAGAAAGAGACCAAGGAUUCUGGAUGGGAUGUGAUAGGAGAGCACACGGAAUGACCCCGGUCACCCACCAUAGAAAUCAGUUCAAGUACCGACUUCAGUAGUGAGCUUUUAAACUGGUCUUAAUUAGAUGACACUAGGGGGACGAAAACAGCACAGACACCAAGACCAUCAAUAGAACUGAAACAACGCAAGAUGGCAAAUCCAGAUCAAACCUAAAGCAGGGGUCUUCUCUAUCUUCAUUCUCGGACUCAAACUUUAAAAAUACUCUGUGAUAAAAUGAGAUGUGACGUCCAGAAGAGCUUCUAGCCUGAGGAGAUGCCAGAGGAGUGUGCCUGAGAGAGGCGUAACUACCAGAAAUGGAUGUAUGAACAGUUGUACUUUUAAGAAACUAGAAAUUGUAAAAUGUACCCAACAUGACAAACUUCGAUAUUCAGGAAUGUGAGCUGGCUUUCAAGGGGACAACCAUGGCGGAGAGCCCCCAGAAUUCCCUUCUCCACAUACUUCAUGGACCAUGAGAGACAUUUUGAAUGACAUUUGGAAGAUGCAAGUGAAACUGCCACCAUAUUCUUUUGGGUUGGAAGAUCUGUACAGGGCAUGACGUGCUGUUGAGCUAAUGUACAUUGUCACUUACCCACACCUGGCUGGUGUGGGGCAGUGUUUGGGCCCACUGGAUCUCCACCUUCAGCUUCUCUUCCUCCUGGGCUAGGUGCGUGUUUAGCUCCCUGAUGAAGAGCAUGAGCUUUACCUGCAGGACUUCCUCAUCAUUGAAGGUGGAGUCUCAGUGGUGGAGAAAUUGUUUUCCACAUCUAAAAAGACUAAGAAAAAGUUGAG